ACGAAUGGCGGAGUGACGGGAAAAAGACGUAAAGGGCACAUGGCCUUCUCAUGUGCGAUCUGACUUGUGUGUUUAAAAAGACCGGUGUCACUGCUUUUAGCAAUAUCGCCUCUUUUAAUGUCGGGAGACAUUUUGUCAUUUAUGGGUCGUGCUAUGAAGCUAUGGAUGCCUUCAGUUGUGACUUGUUUGUCCUUAUGCAGCCGCUGCUAGCUGGUAGCAGUCAGACUCGUCUCAUUUUGUGUCGUCAAUGCGUAUACGGUACGGCUCAGAAGCGUCAUAGAUGUGAAAUGGUCAGUCUAAUAAUAUUUGCGGUAGUCGAUCUGAUAAAAAAAAAAAAUAUUUUACCUUUGAGUUGACCUUCACAGUUUGUGAAACUUUGAGUAGACUGAACAUUUGCCCAUGAGGAAACUUGCGAGAGAUUGAGCUGCACUUUUAUGUCGAGAAAUUUAAUGCACGAAUACCUUGAUUUUUUUUUUUUUUUUUCUCUCUCCCCAAGUGACUCUGAUCUCAGACUCGAUGGUGAUGCAUCUGAAGUCAAAGGUUUGCCCAAGCCUUGUCCAAGUCUUCAACCAUCACAGACGAUUUAUAUUGCUAUUGAUUUCAAAUGAUAUCAGAUUCAAGAUGUGGCAGGCUGAUAAGUUGAAGGUCAUUGACAGUCUGACUCAGCAAUGGGAUGCAACACAUUUAUUUCCAUAGGUUUCCCUCAACGAGGCAAAUCUGUAAGACUAAAUCUGCAGUCGUUCUCCGCAAAAUGAUGAUCGUUUUGAAUUAUGCAGCACUUUUUACCCGACGGAGCAGAGUACGUCAAUAUUUGUCAUGUCUGAUUCCAAAAUCUGUUGAGGCGUUACCAUUAGCCGCUAGCAACACGCUCCCAAAUCAGUGACCCACAACAAUCAAGCUCUCUAGAAAUCCUCUUGUCGUUGCUGCUUUGGGAAAUAUUUCAGCAAAGCAUGCAAGGAGAGAUCCAAAACACAACACACAUGACUUUCUUCUCUCUAACCUCCUCUGUUGUAUUCUGUCAACACACCACCUCCGCAGAACAAUGAGAAUAUUCUCUGAUCCCCCGUUGUGCAAAGAGAGCUCACUUCUCCACUCAACUUUUUAUUCUUAUUUUUUCUUUUUUUAUAACACCGUCUACUGUAUCAGCAGAAUUACUGCAGCGCUUCUUUGCUGCUGCAACUGCCUUGCUAGAGUGUGUCAAGCCUACAGGGGUUUGCUGCUUUGAUCUACUGCACAAUACCCAGUGUGUGAGGGGGGGAAU